rnacentral:rRNA from 1 species
CCCCCGCCCCCCCGCCUAACAUGCAGUCGAGCGAUCGAUGGGAGCUUUGCUCCCUGAGAUUAGCGGCGGACGGGUGCUUUCACGUGGGCAACCUGCCUAUAAGACUGGAUAUCUUCGGGUUUCCGGAGCUAAUACCGGAUACGUUCUUUUCUCGCUGAGAGAAGAUGGAAAGACGGUUUACGCUGGCACUUAUAGAUGGGCCCUCGGCGAUUUAGUUAGUUGGUGAGGAAAUGGCUCACCAAA